UGGGGUAUAGCCAAGUUGGUAAGGCAGCGGGUUUUGAUCCCGCAUUCGUAGGUUCGAGUCCUGCUACCCCAGCCA
rnacentral:tRNA from 1 species